rnacentral:rRNA from 1 species
ACUCCUACGGGAGGCAGCAGUAGGGAAUCUUCCACAAUGGGCGCAAGCCUGAUGGAGCAACACCGCGUGAGUGAAGAAGGGUUUCGGCUCGUAAAGCUCUGUUGUUAAAGAAGAAACACGUAAUGAGAGUAACUGUUCAUACGUUGACGGUAUUUAACCAGAAAGUCACGGCUAACUACGUGCCAGCAGCCGCGGUAAUACGUAGGUGGCAAGCGUUAUCCGGAUUUAUUGGGCGUAAAGAGAGUGCAGGCGGUUUUCUAAGUCUGAUGUGAAAGCCUUCGGCUUAACCGGAGAAGUGCAUCGGAAACUGGAUAACUUGAGUGCAGAAGAGGGUAGUGGAACUCCAUGUGUAGCGGUGGAAUGCGUAGAUAUAUGGAAGAACACCAGUGGCGAAGGCGGCUACCUGGUCUGCAACUGACGC